UACAGAGGGGGCAAGCGUUGUUCGGAAUUACUGGGCGUAAAGGGCGCGUAGGCGGCCUGUUAAGUCAGACGUGAAAUCCCUCAGCUUAACUGGGGAACUGCGUCUGAUACUGGAUGGCUUGAGUUUGGGAGAGGGACGCGGAAUUCCAGGUGUAGCGGUGAAAUGCGUAGAUAUCUGGAGGAACACCGGUGGCGAAGGCGGCGUCCUGGACCAACACUGACACUGAUGAGCGAAAGCCAGGGGAGCAAACGGG
rnacentral:rRNA from 1 species